GACGAACGCUGGCGGCGUGCCUAAUACAUGCAAGUCGAGCGGACUGAAUGGGAGCUUGCUCUUGUUCGGUCAGCGGCGGACGGGUGAGUAACACGUGGGCAACCUGCCCGCAAGACCGGGAUAACUCCGGGAAACGGGGGCUAAUCCCGGAUAAACCCGAAGACCGAAGGGUCUUUGGUUAAAAGGCGGCGCAGGCGGCCACUUGCGGAUGGCCCCGCGGCGCAUUAGCUAGUUGGUGAGGUAACGGCUCACAAAGGCGACGAUGCGUAGCCGGCCUGAGAGGGUGACCGGCCACACUGGGACUGAGACACGGCCCAGACUCCUACGGGAGGCAGCAGUAGGGAAUCUUCCGCAAUGGGCGAAAGCCUGACGGAGCGACGCCGCGUGAGCGAAGAAGGCCUUCGGGUCGUAAAGCUCUGUUGUGAGGGACGAAGGAGCGCCGUUUGAAGAAGGCGGCGCGGUGACGGUACCUCACGAGGAAGCCCCGGCUAACUACGUG
rnacentral:rRNA from 1 species